GACGAACCGUGCGAACGUUGUUCGGAAUCACUGGGCAUAAAGGGCGCGUAGGCGGGCUGUCAAGUCUGGGGUGAAAUCCCGCGGCUCAACCGUGGAACUGCCUCAGAUACUGACGGUCUCGAGGGAGGUAGGGGCGAGCGGAACUGAUGGUGGAGCGGUGAAAUGCGUUGAUAUCAUCAGGAACUCCGGUGGCGAAGGCGGCUCGCUGGACCUCUUCUGACGCUGAGGCGCGAAAGCCAGGGGAGCAAACGGGG
rnacentral:rRNA from 1 species